GUACAGACCUCCCACGUGACCUACGUGUCCUGUGGUGGCUGGAUCCCAUGGAGACGGUGCCCCAAGACUGUGUACCGGACCCAGUACCUGGUGGUGGAAGUCCCCGAGUCCAGGAAUGUGACCGACUGCUGUGUGGGCUAUGAGCAGCUGGGCCUGUACUGCGUCCUGCCCCUGAAUCGUUCCGGGGAGUUUGCAUCGAGACCCGGGGGGUGCCCGACAACAGAGCCAGCUUCGCCCAGCUCACCGUGCAGCUUGGACACUGACUGUCCCGGAGUUCAGAAGUGCUGUCCCUGGUCAGAAGGCCACCACUGUGUAGCUGCCGCACCCCCAGGUGCAGAGAAAGGCCUGGGGAGCUGGUACAAUGUGACCGUGCUGGUGAAGAUGGGCUUUGACGACCUGCAGCGAGAGG